rnacentral:rRNA from 1 species
UGGGGAAUAUUGGACAAUGGGCGCAAGCCUGAUCCAGCCAUACCGCGUGGGUGAAGAAGGCCUUCGGGUUGUAAAGCCCUUUUGUUGGGAAAGAAAUCCAGCCGGCUAAUACCUGGUUGGGAUGACGGUACCCAAAGGAUAAGCACCGGCUAACUUCGUGCCAGCAGCCGCGGUAAUACGAAGGGUGCAAGCGUUACUCGGAAUUACUGGGCGUAAAGCGUGCGUAGGUGGUCGUUUAAGUCCGUUGUGAAAGCCCUGGGCUCAACCUGGGAACUGCAGUGGAUACUGGGCGACUAGAGUGUGGUAGAGGGUAGCGGAAUUCCUGGUGUAGCAGUGAAAUGCGUAGAGAUCAGGAGGAACAUCCAUGGCGAAGGCAGCUACCUGGACCAACACUGACACUGAGGCACGAAAGCGUGGGGAGCAAACAGGAUUAGAUACCCUGGUAGUCCACGCCCUAAACGAUGCGAACUGGAUGUUGGGUGCAAUUUGGCACGCAGUAUCGAAGCUAACGCGUUAAGUUCGCCGCCUGGGGAGUACGGUCGCAAGACUG